rnacentral:rRNA from 1 species
AGCGAGCGGCGGACGGGUGAGUAACACGUGGGUAACCUGCCCAAGAGACUGGGAUAACACCUGGAAACAGAUGCUAAUACCGGAUAACAACACUAGACGCAUGUCUAGAGUUUGAAAGAUGGUUCUGCUAUCACUCUUGGAUGGACCUGCGGUGCAUUAGCUAGUUGGUAAGGUAACGGCUUACCAAGGCAAUGAUGCAUAGCCGAGUUGAGAGACUGAUCGGCCACAUUGGGACUGAGACACGGCCCAAACUCCUACGGGAGGCAGCAGUAGGGAAUCUUCCACAAUGGACGAAAGUCUGAUGGAGCAACGCCGCGUGAGUGAAGAAAGGUUUCGGCUCGUAAAGCUCUGUUGGUAGUGAAGAAAGAUAGAGGUAGUAACUGGCCUUUAUUUGACGGUAAUUACUUAGAAAGUCACGGCUAACUACGUGCCAGCAGCCGCGGUAAUACGUAGGUGGCAAGCGUUGUCCGGAUUUAUUGGGCGUAAAGCGAGUGCAGGCGGUUCAAUAAGUCUGAUGUGAAAGCCUUCGGCUCAACCGGAGAAUUGCAUCAGAAACUGUUGAACUUGAGUGCAGAAGAGGAGAGUGGAACUCCAUGUGUAGCGGUGGAAUGCGUAGAUAUAUGGAAGAACACCAGUGGCGAAGGCGGCUCUCUGGUCUGCAACUG